CAGAUUACGAGUCUUUCGCUCUUAACCACUACACCACACAAACAGCCUUGCUGUCUCUUUCUCCACAAGUAGGUUUCGGUGGAUACAGAAAAGCUGAACGGAGCUUUGGUGAUGGUAGGAACACUACAGUUCAGUCAUUAGCCAACAUUGCCUGGACAAAUCUGCAUGAGAGCCCACAAGCACAGCUGAACGGAUCAUGCAGGCUUAUUUUGCACACAGGAAAUGCUUGAUACAAGGGGUGAGCGAGGGAAAUGCUUGAUACAAGGGUUCCCACUGGGCCAUUCUGUGGCAAAUGGGAUUGCGGGCAGUGUGCACAGGUUGCAGCUCUGCCACCGUUUGAAUGUCAAAAGAAAGCAGGGAAAUUAGCACUUGGCUAAC